rnacentral:rRNA from 1 species
UACGUAGGGGGCAAGCGUUGUCCGGAUUUAUUGGGCGUAAAGAGCGUGUAGGCGGCCUGAAAGGUCAGCUGUGAAAACUCGAGGCUCAACCUCGAGAGGUCGGUGGAAACCGUCUGGCUAGAGUCCGGAAGAGGAGAGUGGAAUUCCCGGUGUAGCGGUGAAAUGCGCAGAUAUCGGGAAGAACACCCGUGGCGAAGGCGGCUCUCUGGGACGGUACUGACGCUGAGACGCGAAAGCGUGGGGAGCGAACAGG